rfam:Lingula anatina scaffold299, whole genome shotgun sequence.
GGGCUCGUGGCGCAAUUGGACAACGCGUCUGCCUACGGAGCAGAAGAUUCCAGGUUCGAGUCCUGGCGAGCUCG